rnacentral:lncRNA from 1 species
GGUAACCAGGAGAAGGCAACCAUAGAGGGCUGAACAGCAAGACAGCAAGACAGGCACCAAGUUCCACUCCACAAUAUUUCCUGGGAACAGCCUUGCCAAUCCAUGAAAUAAGAAAAAUGUUAUUCUGUGCCUUCCCACUUCUCAGAAUGCUUACAAGCUGUAUUUCCUCCACCAGCAACGUUCCAUUUCAAGCCACAGGACUAUAAAGACAGAUGCCACAAAGUUCAUCUGUUAUUGAGUGACCACAGGAAAUGCCAGAGAUUCUGAGAAGCAAUUGAAAUUGAACCAUGUAACAGCCAACCUGACCCUCUUCACUCAUGCCCCUCAGGAUCCUGGGUGUAACAUCAAUUAAGACAAAUUAACAUAAAGAAAGUCGGACUGGAAGAAACACAAUUUCUUUCAAGAAAUACUAGCGGCCCCAUGUUGCGAUUCAGGCCAUUGAGAAAUAUUUCAAGUAUGACUCCGAGAAAAGCUUUCACAAAUAUUUUAUGAGCUUCAAAAUUAUAAGAAGUCACCAAGCCCCUUCUUUUCACUGCUACCAUUUUGCAAGGACAACAUCACAAGGGGAGUGGAGCAAGGAGAGCAAGUGCAAGGAGCUUGCUUCAUUCACUCGCUGACCUAGGAAGUCAGGAAUGCCAUCUUGUCCUGGUCCUGUAAGGUCUUUAUAAUCCUUGUCCAUCCAGGUACGAUGAAGAAGGCAGGCUACACUAGAAACUAAAUGUGGGAUUUUGCCCACUUUUCACGCAUCAAGCCUCUUUCGAAGGUUGUGCUCUAAAUGACCUCAUUCAAAGUAUAAGGAGAACAUGCAUUGGUGAAGAACAUGGGCUCUGCAGUCAGACUUCUUGGGCUGUGGCACUUACUAUCAGUGAGACGGUGGAUAAAUCUUAGUUUCUCUUAGUUUUGCUUUACUUAUUCAUGAAUUGAGGUUAAUAAAAGCACCAAACUAUAAGGUUACUGUGACAACAAAAUAACACAUAAAGCACAAUGCCUAGCAUAGGUAAAAACUAUUAUCCUGCCUUGCAGCACUUACCAGGUAUGAAUGAAAAAGAAAGCAAAAUUUGCAAGUUUCUGCCCCCUGUAACUGUAUUGCUAGCUCAUAUUAGGACGCUGGAUGAUUUAUAAUAUAAUUGAACACCAGAGGUAAAUGUUUCUUUACUCUCUGGGCUUCAGCAUCUCUAUCUGUAAAAUCAGGUGGUUGUAUUAAAUCUCUUACCUUCUCAAUUCCAACAAGAACUGUCUAGAAAUUGUUGAGCAAUUCCCCAGGGAUGCAAGCAAAUCCCCAAAGAUCCCCUCCUUGAGGCUGAGAUGGGGGCUGAUAUUAAAUUACAGCUGCACAAACAGCAACUUCAUCACAUGAGGUUUACCUAGCACUGUCUGUGUGUGUGUCUUUCAUUCCUUCACCUUUGUGUUAGGCGUACCUAUGCGCCAGAUCCUAAUGGAAGCAGUGAGAUGGCCAGGAUGCUGAGGUAAGUGAGAUGUGGCCCCUAGAACCAAGAAACUCACAGACCAGUAACAGAAUGAAGUCAGCAUAAAGACUGAAGGUGUAGGGCA